GGGUCCUUAGCUCAGUUGUAGGGUAUUUGACUGCAGAUCAAGAGGUCACCAGUUCGAACCUGAUAGGACUCU
rnacentral:tRNA from 1 species